AAGGGCCGGACCCAGCCACGGGAAGAAGGACAAGGAGCGCUCCCAGCUUUGCCCCAUCACGCUGCCUGGGCCCCAGGUGGCCACCGCGUGGGAAGGCUCC
rnacentral:sRNA from 1 species